CCAAAGAAUUUGAUUUAUGGUCAGGAACGAACGCGGGCGGCGUGCCUUAUUACAUGCAAGUCGAGCGGACAGAAAGGGGAGCUUUGGUUCCCUGGAUUUAGCGGCGGACGGGUGAGUAACCACGUUGGGCAACCCUGCCCCUUAGGAUUGGGAUAAAUUCCGGGAAACCCGGAGCUAAUACCGGAUAAUCCCUUUUCUCCACCUGGGAUCGAGGGGUGAAAGAUGGCUUCGGCUAUCAUUAAGGGAUGGGCCCGCGGCGCAUUAGCUAGUUGGUAAGGUAACGGCUCACCAAGGCAACGAUGCGUAGCCGACCUGAGAGGGUGAUCGGCCACACUGGGACUGAGACACGGCCCAGACUCCUACGGGAGGCAGCAGUAGGGAAUCUUCCGCAAUGGACGAAAGUCUGACGGAGCAACGCCGCGUGAGUGAGGAAGGCCUUCGGGUCGUAAAGCUCUGUUGUGAGGGAAGAACCGGUACCGUUCGAAUAGGGCGGUACCUUGACGGUACCUCACCAGAAAGCCACGGCUAACUACGUGCCAGCAGCCGCGGUAAUACGUAGGUGGCAAGCGUUGUCCGGAAUUAUUGGGCGUAAAGCGCGCGCAGGCGGUUUCUUAAGUCUGAUGUGAAAUCUCGGGGCUCAACCCCGAGCGGCCAUUGGAAACUGGGGAGCUUGAAUGCAGAAGAGGAGAGUGGAAUUCCACGUGUAGCGGUGAAUUGUUUAGAGAUGUGGAGGAACACCAGUGGCGAAGGCGACUCUCUGGUCUGUAAAUGACGCUGAGACUCGCGGAAUCCCCCAC
rnacentral:rRNA from 2 species